rnacentral:tRNA from 1 species
UGGGGGAUCGUUCAACGGUAGGACAACGGACUCUGACUCCGUUUAUCUAGGUUCGAAUCCUAGUCCCCCAGCCA